GCGCCCGGGGUGUAGGGGUAACACGCAGCCACUAGUUGCUCUCGAGUCCCCGUGGAGGUUGCAGGUUGAAUCCGGGGUUCGACUCCCCGCGGGCGCG